AGGUUAGCCACCCAGUAGAGCUACUGAGUUCCAUCCUGGUACUGGGGAAUGUCUAUAGAGACUCCUGUGAUGUGAUCCAUCUUCAGAUCUUGCAGCCAUGACUACUAGCACCUGCUCCAGCCGCUACAUUCAGUCAUCCAGUGACCUCAGCAACUUUUCAGUUGAAGAUUCUGCAUCACCAGAUAACAGAACAAACUCAAGAGCUUAUCAACAUGUAUUUCUAAAUUAAUUUAUUUAAGCUGCAAGGUUUUAUUCUACCUAUUUUUCAUGAGCAUUCAGCUAUUAUUAAGCUAAGCAUUAAAGAAACUUGCAAAAAUGUAAAACAAUGCCACCCUUCUCACUAGCUUUUGUUUGUUUUGGAAAAUCUAGUUGUUAUUCACACAAUAUGCUAUAUAUGUUAACACAUAAUAGAUUUAUUGUUAUUUUUAAUGAAUUAAUAUUUCAAUUACCAGUUUUAAUUUCUAAUGGGGAAAAUAUCUAUAAAUAUGACCCACGUAAACAAAAACUCUGGUAUUCUUUGUAAUUUAGAGUAUAAAGGAAUCCUGAUACUAAAAACUUUAGAGUGUUUUUCUAAGCCAGUAUUAGUGUUUUUUUAAAUAUCUACAUUUUCUAAAACCUACAACCCCACUUAGAGUAAUCAACCAAAUUCGAGGGGCUAAGUCUUUCAGUAAUUAUUAGUUUUAUAUUUAUCUUGUAUUUACAACUUCUAUGGUCUGCUUUGUUCCCAGUAAGCACAAAACACCUGCUUAACAAAUAAAUUGCAUUAUUUAAUA